ensembl:lncRNA novel transcript, antisense to VEGFA
GUCGCUUUCGCUGCUCGCACGCCCGCGCGCUCUCUCUGACCCCGUCUCUCUCUUCCUCGACUUCUCUCUGGAGCUCUUGCUACCUCUUUCCUCUUUCUGCUGGUUUCCAAAAUCCACAGUGAUUUGGGGAAGUAGAGCAAUCUCCCCAAGCCGUCGGCCCGAUUCAAGUGGGGAAUGGCAAGCAAAAA